rnacentral:pre_miRNA from 1 species
AGCCCUCUCUAUCCGUGGUGAGAUUUCGUCGGAGAUCAACCCGUUAGGGCUGAUGCAAAUUCACAAGUAGGUGAAGCG